rnacentral:lncRNA from 1 species
CAGGAAGUUGUCCUGAGGUCACUUACUACCGACUUUACAUUCUGACUCUACGGCUUUACCCACUCGCAUACUGCAGUUGUGGAUGGUCGGAAACAGCACGUUAUGGAACAGUACCCAACUUCCUUGGCUCCUUAGACACGGUGAAAACAAUCAACAAACUUACACCUGACGUCGCGUGUGGGCCUCCAAGUGAACAGCCCUUACAAUGCUGCCCCACGUUUCAUCAAAAACAAGUUAUCGAUGGACUUAGGGAGGGCUAUGGAAUUUUAAGAGUCUG